AAAUUGAAGAGUUUGAUCAUGGCUCAGAUUGAACGCUGGCGGCAGGCCUAACACAUGCAAGUCGAACGGUAACAGGAAACAGCUUGCUGUUUCGCUGACGAGUGGCGGACGGGUGAGUAAUGUCUGGGAAACUGCCUGAUGGAGGGGGAUAACUACUGGAAACGGUAGCUAAUACCGCAUAACGUCGCAAGACCAAAGAGGGGGACCUUCGGGCCUCUUGCCAUCGGAUGUGCCCAGAUGGGAUUAGCUAGUAGGUGGGGUAAAGGCUCACCUAGGCGACGAUCCCUAGCUGGUCUGAGAGGAUGACCAGCCACACUGGAACUGAGACAC
rnacentral:rRNA from 1 species